UUGUGGUGACUCAUAUACUAAAUAAAAUUAGAACAAUACAGUAAAGAUUAAUAUUUCCCAGGCAUAAGGGUGACUUGCAAGUUUAUGAAGCAUUUUGUAUUUUU
ensembl:snRNA U6 U6 spliceosomal RNA